UUCAUUUCACACAAAACAAAACUGACAAAAGAAGUGCAGUUCCCAAAUGGCAAUAAUCUUUCUUUCAAGCUCCGCAAUUCUUCUUCCAAGUCUUGCUUUCUUUCUCACAUUAUUUAACCUUGCAAGUUCUGAAUCAUUCAUCGGCGUGAACUACGGACAAGUCGCUGACAACCUGCCGCCGCCGUCGGCGACGGCGAAGCUGCUCCAGUCGACGGCCAUCGGAAAGGUGCGUUUGUACGGAACCGACCCGGCGAUAAUAAAAGCUCUGGCGAACACGGGGAUCGGAAUCGUGAUCGGAGCGGCGAACGGGGACAUUCCGGGGCUAGCCUCGGACCCUAACUUCGCGAAAACGUGGGUGAACACCAACGUCGUACCGUACUACCCUGCCAGCAACAUCAUCCUCAUAACCGUCGGCAACGAAGUGAUAACCUCGAACGACCAAAACCUCGUGAACCAGAUGCUGCCGGCGAUCCAGAACGUGCAGGGCGCGCUCGACGCCGCCUCUCUCGGCGGCGGCAAGAUCAAGGUCUCCACCGUGCACGCCAUGUCGGUUCUCAGGGACUCUGAGCCACCCUCCGCCGGAAGGUUUCAUCCCGAAUACGACACCGUUUUGCAGGGGCUGUUGUCGUUUAACAAUGCCACGGGCUCGCCCUUUACCAUUAACCCUUACCCUUACUUUGCCUACAGAAGCGACCCUGGCAGAGCUGAUAACCUUGCUUUUUGCCUUUUCCAGCCUAACGCUGGCAGAGUUGACUCCAACACCAACCUCAAGUACAUGAACAUGUUUGAUGCUCAGGUGGACGCGGUUCGAUCUGCGUUGGAUGCUAUGGGGUUUAAGAAUGUUGAGAUUGUGGUUGCGGAGACAGGGUGGCCCUACAAAGGAGACAGCAAUGAGGCUGGUCCAAGUCUUGAGAAUGCUAAGGCUUAUAACGGCAAUCUGAUUGCCCACCUGCGAUCUAUGGUUGGAACCCCAUUGAUGCCAGGGAAAUCAGUGGACACAUACCUCUUUGCUUUGUACGAUGAGGACUUGAAGCCUGGACCUGCUUCUGAGAGAGCCUUUGGACUCUACAACCCUGAUCAAUCCAUGAUCUAUGAUGCUGGCCUCUCCAAACAGCAAGAAACUAGUAGCCCCGUGCCGACGGUUGCCCCGACUCCGGAUGUGUCAAAAUCUCCAGUGAUUCCAGCGCCAACAGACCCGGGUCAACAAACACAAAAAUCUCCAGUGAUUCCAGCGCCAAUAGGCCCGGGUCCAACACCAAAUAAAGCAGAACUCUUAAUUGGACAUGAAGCCACCAUUUUGAAGUCUUUAAUAAUGUUCACAGUUCUCAUCUUAAUGUUGUAACACCAAAUAAAGCAGAACUCUUAAUUGGACAUGAAGCCACCAUUUUGCAGUCUUUAAUAAUGUUCACAGUUCUCAUCUUAAUGUUGUUCUAGCUAGUAGUGGUAUUUAAUAUAAUAUGUUUCUUAAUUUCAUUGAAGACUACUCCGGAUGUGUCAAAAUCUCCCUCUACUCCAAAGCCAACAGUUUCAAGUCCAACCAAAACAAAUAAUAGUGCAACAUGGUGUGUGCCAAAAGGAGGAGUGGCAGAUGCACAGUUACAAGCAAAUUUGGAUUAUGCUUGUGGGCAAGGGAUUGAUUGUACCGCAAUUCAACAAGGAGGGGCUUGUUUUGAACCUAACACUUUGGUAAACCAUGCUGCAUAUGCCAUGAAUCUAUUGUAUCAAACAGCUGGACGGAAUCCAUUGACUUGUGAUUUCUCGCAAACAGCCAUGUUGUCAACGAAUAAUCCAAGUUACAAGAGUUGUCUUUAUGCUGGAGGAAAUGCCUAACCCAGAAAACAAGUAGAUAAAGGAGGGCACUUUUUGUUGUUUUAAUUAUUCUCUCUUAAUUGCUAAGAAAUGUUCUGGUUCUUGGAGUGUUCAUGUAUGGAGGAGGAUCUUCUUCCUCUAUUUGUAGUCUCACCUUUUUUAGUCUUUAUCAGAAGCAAAUUGAUGCUUUGUUUAUGUGUGAUCUGUGAAGCGUGGUUUAGGUAUGUGUGUUGUUCAAUCAUCGUUUGAAA